rnacentral:rRNA from 1 species
CCAGACUGGAACUGAGACACGGUCCAGACUCCUACGGGAGGCAGCAGUGAGGAAUAUUUCACAAUGAGCGAAAGCUUGAUGGAGCAAUGCCGCGUGCAGGAUGAAGGCCCUCGGGUUGUAAACUGCUUUUAUAAGAGAAGAUUAUGACGGUAACUUAUGAAUAAGGGACGGCUAACUACGUGCCAGCAGCCGCGGUCAUACGUAGGUCCCGAGCGUUAUCCGGAGUGACUGGGCGUAAAGAGUUGCGUAGGCGGUCAAGUUAGCGAGCGAUGAAAACUAUCGGCUCAACCGAUAGCUUGUUGUUCGAACUGCUUGACUCGAGAGUAUCAGAGGUCGCUGGAAUUCCUAGUGUAGCAGUGAAAUGCGUAGAUAUUAGGAAGAACACCGAUGGCGUAGGCAGGCGACUGGGAUAUUUCUGACGCUAAGGCACGAAAGCGUGGGUAGCGAACCGGAUUAGAUACCCGGGUAGUCCACGCCGUAAACGAUGGAUGCUAAUUGUUUGAGGUAUCGACCCCUCGAGUAAUAAAGCUAACGCGUUAAGCAUCCCGCCUGUGGAGUACGGCCGCAAGGCUAAAACAUAAAGGAAUUGACGGGGACCCGCACAAGCGGUGGAUUAUGUUCUUUAAUUCGAUGAUAACCGAAGAACCUUACCAGGGCUUGACAUCCAGGGAAGGUCUGCGAAAGUAGACUGUGCCUUUUGGAACCCUGUGACAGGUGAUGCAUGGCCGUCGUCAGCUCGUGUCGUGAGAUGUUUGGUUAAGUCCAUCAACGAGCGCAACCCUUGUCGUCAGUUGUAUUUUUCUGGCGAGACUGCCCCGGUAACGGGGAGGAAGGAGGGGAUGAUGUCAGGUCAGUAUUGGUCUUACGCCCUGGGCUAGAAACGUCCUACAAUGGUCGGUACAAUGGGUAGCCAACCCGUGAGGGGGAGCAAAUCCCAUCAAAGCCGGUCUCAGUUCGGAUUGCAGGCUGAAACUCGCCUGCAUGAAGUCGGAAUCGCUAGUAAUCGCAAAUCAGCAAGUUGCGGUGAAUACGUUCCCGGGUCUUGUACACACCGCCCGUCAAACCAUGAAAGUGACCAACACCCGAAGUCCGAUUCGUCGGCCUAAGGUGGGGGGCAUGAUUGGGGUUAAGUCGUAACAAGGUAUCCGUACCGGAAGGUGCGGAUG